AUCAAUAUAUAUUUCUGACUAAAAUUAAUAAUGAAUUUUGAAAAAAUACAUAUUAAGAUUUUAUUUGUUAAGUAAUAAACACAUUUAUAAGACACAACUAAUCACUAAUCUUAUAAAUAAAUUAUUGAGUAAUAAAGUAUGAGAUACACAGUAAACACAACAACCACCAUGAUCUUACCUGAAUAGAAGAGUGAGGAGAUUAGGAUGAGACAAGUAUAUCCACUUGGAAUGAUUGGGUGAUAAUGCCACGCGCAUGAAGUAAGUUGCAUGAUGAGCCAAUCCAAACCCGCGUGCGACCCACGCGCAAAACAAAGGGAAACACCACACAACAACAUAAUACCAAUAAUAAUGAUUAUUAGAUAAUAAUUAACUAAUUAAUUAACGAGUUAAUUAAAAAAGGAAUGGGCGCGCGAAAGUAACAAAUCCAAAAUGGUCUCAUCCUCCCAAAAGAUUCUGGUCACCGUGGUGCCAGUUUCAUAGGCACCCACACAGUCGUGCAGCUCCUCAAAGGAGGCUUCACUGUUUCAAUAAUAGACAAUUUUGACAACUCCGUCAUGGAGGCGGUCGACCGGGUACGCCAAGUGGUGGGUCCUCAUCUUUCUCAGAAUCUCGAAUCCACCCAGGUCUGCACUCUCUUCCUGUUUCACUUCACUCUCUAACUUUCCAUAUUGCAAAUUCGCCUCUUCUUCUCGGCAGGGCGAUCUCAGGAACAGGGAUGACUUGGAGAAACUUUUCUCCAGAAACACAUUCGAUGCCGUGAUCCACUUUGCUGGCCUCAAAGCGGUUGCGAAAAGCGUGGCCAAGCCACGUCAUUAUUUUGAUUUCAAUUUGAUCGGCACCAUCAAUCUCUACGAAGUUAUGGCCAAGUAUAACUGUAAAAAGAUUUAUGGCCAACCUGAAAAGAUACCGUGCGAGGAGGAUUUCAAGUUGCAAGCUAUGAAUCCCUAUGGACGGACCAAGAUCCGGGACUAUAUCCAUGUGAUGGACUUAGCAGAUGGUCAUAUUGCUCCCUUCAGAAAGCUCUUCACAUCGGAGAACAUAGGUGAAUUGUUCUUUUUCUUCCCUUGUAGAAGUUAGAGUUCAAAUUCAAUCUUAUGUGUUGAAUGCAUAAAAAAUAUGGAAAAUGAAAAGUAUUUUUUUAAG